GAUGAACGCUGGCGGCGUGCCUAAUACAUGCAAGUCGAGCGAACGGACGAGACGCUUGCUUCUCUGAUGUUAGCGGCGGACGGGUGAGUAACACGUGGAUAACCUACCUAUAAGACUGGGAUCACUUCGGGAAACCGGCGCUAAUACCGUAUAAUAUUUUGAACCGCAUGGUUCAAAAGUGAAAGACGGUCUUGCUGUCACUUAUAGAUGGAUCCGCGCUGCAUUAGCUAGUUGGUAAGGUAAAGGCUUACCACGGCAACGAUGCAUAGCCGACCUGAGAGGGGGAUCGGCCGCACUGGAACGGGGACACGGUCCAGACUCCUACGAGAGGCAGCAGUAGGGAAUCGGACGCAGUGGGCGAAAGCCUGACGGAGCAACGCGGCGUGAGAGAUGAAGGUCUUCGGAUCGGAAAACUCUGUUAUUAGGGAAGAACAGAUGUGUAAGGAACUGUGCACAUCUUGACGGUACCUAAUCAGAAAGCCACGGCUAACUACGUG
rnacentral:rRNA from 1 species